AGCGAACGCUGGCGGCAGGCCUAACACAUGCAAGUCGAACGAACUCUUCGGAGUUAGUGGCGGACGGGUGAGUAACACGUGGGAACGUGCCUUUAGGUUCGGAAUAACUCAGGAAAACUUGUGCUAAUACCGAAUGUGCCCUUCGGGGGAAAGAUUUAUCGCCUUUAGAGCGGCCCGCGUCUGAUUAGCUAGUUGGUGAGGUAAAGGCUCACCAAGGCGACGAUCAGUAGCUGGUCUGAGAGGAUGUUCAGCCACAUUGGGACUGAGACACGGCCCAAACUCCUACGGGAGGCAGCAGUGGGGAAUCUUGCGCAAUGGGCGAAAGCCUGACGCAGCCAUGCCGCGUGAAUGAUGAAGGUCUUAGGAUUGUAAAAUUCUUUCACCGGGGACGAUAAUGACGGUACCCGGAGAAGAAGCCCCGGCUAACUUCGUG
rnacentral:rRNA from 1 species